CUCCUCUAGCAAUGGGCAAAGAGACACCUUCUUGGUAGUGUUGUUCACCUAUCAGAUAGAGGCAGAACAGGUAGCAAUCCUUUGUUUAUCCUAUCUUGAUGCCUGGCUUGCUGACCAAGCUGUUUUAUGUCUAAUACACAUAA